CCUACGGGGGGCAGCAGUAGGGAAUCUUCCACAAUGGACGAAAGUCUGAUGGAGCAACGCCGCGUGUGUGAUGAAGGGUUUCGGCUCGUAAAACACUGUUGUAAGAGAAGAAUGACAUUGAGAGUAACUGUUGAUUGUGUGACGGUAUCUUACCAGAAAGGCACGGCUAAAUACGUGCCAGCAACCGCGGUAAUACGUAUGUUCCAAGCGUUAUCCGGAUUUAUUGGGCGUAAAGCGAGCGCAGGCGGUUUUUUAAGUCCGAUGUGAAAGCCCACAGCUUAACUGAGGAAGUGCUUAGGAAACUGGAUAACUUGAGUGCAGAAGAGGAGAGUGGAACUCCAUGUGUAGCGGUGAAAUGCGUAGAUAUAUGGAAGAACACCAGUGGCGAAGGCGGCUCUCUGGUCUGUAACUGACGCUGAGGCUCGAAAGCGUGGGUAGCAAACAGGAUUAGAUACCCCGGUAGUC
rnacentral:rRNA from 1 species